UACGGGGGGAGCAAGCGUUGUUCGGAUUUACUGGGCGUAAAGGGCGCGUAGGCGGUCAGCACAAGUCAAUUGUGAAAUCUCCGAGCUUAACUCGGAAAGGUCAACUGAAACUGUGCGACUAGAGUGCGGAAGGGGCAACUGGAAUUCUUGGUGUAGCGGUGAAAUGCGUAGAUAUCGAGAGGAACACCUGCGGCGAAGGCGGGUUGCUGGGCUGACACUGACGCUGAUGCGCGAAAGCGUGGGGAGCAAACAGG
rnacentral:rRNA from 1 species